UCCCUGGUGGCUCAGCGGUAAAGAAUCUGCCUGCCAAGCAGGAGAGACGGGUUCGAUCCCUGAGUUGGGAA
rnacentral:tRNA from 1 species